rnacentral:rRNA from 1 species
AUUGAACGCUGGAGGCAGGCCUAACACAUGCAAGUCGAACGAGUGGCGGACGGGUGAGUAAUGUCUGGGAAACUGCCCGAUGGAGGGGGAUAACUACUGGAAACGGUAGCUAAUACCGCAUACCAUCGGAUGUGCCCAGAUGGGAUUAGCUAGUAGGUGGGGUAACGGCUCACCUAGGCGACGAUCCCUAGCUGGUCUGAGAGGAUGACCCACCACACUGGAACUGAAACACGGUCCAGACUCCCACGGUAGGCCGCAUUGGGGAAUAUUGCACCAUGAGCGCAAGCCUGAUGCAGCGAUGCCGCGUGUAUGAAGAAGGCCUUCGGGUUGUAAAGUACUUUCUGCGCGGAGGCGUUACUAGCAGAAGAAGCACCGGCUAACUCCGUGCCAGCAGCCGCGGUAAUUC